AUCGCGCCAUUGGAUCGGCUUUAGAAUUGGGUUCAUCAGCAUGGUCGAGAGGUUGGUGUUUUCCCAACAAGUAAUUCCUCAGUCGAGUGGGUAUCCCCAGCAGUGUUACUCCCCAAUUGUUGGUGUCUUGCCAGCUUGAGUCUUUUGCCUUAAGCAGAUAUGGGUGUGUCUGAUCUCUCCAUGUAGAGUCUACCCCUUAAGAAGAAAGUGUCAAUCUUUUCCUGCCAUUUCCCCCACUGAG
rnacentral:lncRNA from 1 species